rnacentral:rRNA from 1 species
UACGUAGGGUGCAAGCGUUAUCCGGAAUUAUUGGGCGUAAAGAGCUCGUAGGCGGUUUGUCGCGUCUGCUGUGAAAACUGGAGGCUCAACCUCCAGCCUGCAGUGGGUACGGGCAAACUAGAGUGCGGUAGGGGAGAUUGGAAUUCCUGGUGUAGCGGUGGAAUGCGCAGAUAUCAGGAGGAACACCGAUGGCGAAGGCAGAUCUCUGGGCCGUAACUGACGCUGGAGGAGCGAAAGCAUGGGGAGCGAACAGG